CAAUAGCGUAUAUUAUUGAUGUUGCAGUUGAAACGUUCGUAGUCGAAUCUUAUCUGCCAAAGCAUCAUGUCAUUUAUGAUGACAUAAUGCUCUCGGCAGAGAUUGUACAAGCGUUUGCAUGUGUUUCACAUGUCUGACCUUGUAUCUUACUUUGAGUGAAUCGGCGUGUUCCACGCAGGCAUGUGCCUUGAACGAUUUACCAUAGCAUAAUCAGAGUAUGGAACUGCUUCCUUGUUUGUUCGGAAGCUCUUUCGAUACUGAUAGGAACGGUUGAGGUGAAAUUCUUUGAUUAGUCGAGGACGAACCAUUGCGAAAGCAUCUGCCAAGGACGUUUCCUUUGA
rnacentral:rRNA from 1 species